UGAGGAAUAUUGGUCAAUGGACGCAAGUCUGAACCAGCCAUGCCGCGUGAAGGAUGAAGGCCUUCUGGGUUGUAAACUUCUUUUAUCUGGGAAGAAACCUCCGAUUUCUAUUGGAGCCGACGGUACCAGAGGAAUAAGCACCGGCUAACUCCGUGCCAGCAGCCGCGGUAAUACGGAGGGUGCAAGCGUUAUCCGGAUUCACUGGGUUUAAAGGGUGUGUAGGCGGGUAAUUAAGUCAGUGGUGAAAUCUCCGAGCUCAACUUGGAAACUGCCAUUGAUACUAUUUAUCUUGAAUUCUGUUGAGGUGGGCGGAAUAUGUCAUGUAGCGGUGAAAUGCAUAGAUAUGACAUAGAACACCAAUUGCGAAGGCAGCUCGCUAAACAGAUAUUGACGCUGAGGCACGAAAGCGUGGGGAUCAAACAGG
rnacentral:rRNA from 1 species